rnacentral:rRNA from 1 species
CUUGAACGCUGGCGGCAGGCCUAACACAUGCAAGUCGAACGAGUGGCGGACGGGUGAGUAAUGUCUGGGAAACUGCCUGAUGGCGGGGGAUAACUACUGGAAACGGUAGCUAAUACCGCAUACCAUCAGAUGUGCCCAGAUGGGAUUAGCUUGUUGGUGGGGUAACGGCUCACCAAGGCGACGAUCCCUAGCUGGUCUGAGAGGAGGACAAGCCAAACGGUAAGUGAGACAAGGUCCAGACUCAUACGGGAGGCAGCGGUGGGAAAUACUGCACAAUGGGGGGAAGCCGGAUGCAGCCAUGCGGGGUGUAUGAAGAGGGCCUUCGGGUUGUAAAGUACUUUCAGCGGGGAGGCGUUACCCUCAGAAGAAGCACCGGCUAACUCCGUGCCAGCAGCCGCGGUAAUAC